AUAAGAAGUGAAUUUAUUAGACUUACUCAAAAUAAAAGAAACCAGUUUAGGCAAGCUGAGAUAAAUUGUCGUCUAUUAAAAGAGAUGAGCCUAGGCGAGCUGAGAUAAGUUAUAAUGAAAAUGAAAAAAAUAAGGCUAGGCGAGAACUUAUAUGCAUCACAUAGCAAAUUCCAAUUACCAAAUGCUUGCUGUUAAAAUUUUCCAGGAAAAUAUUUUCUAUAUAAUUUUAAUAAACUUUUAAAACAUUUAGUUUAAAGAACUUCUAACGAAAGAUUUUGACUAUUUUUAACAAUCCUCUCAAAAAGGCAUCAGCAGCAGACAUCUUGCAAUGCUUUUUUAGCUUAUUACAGAUCAAAUAGAGGGUCUACUCUCAUACAGAUUAUUCAGAUGACGUGUUUGUUCAAUAUAGACAUACAAUUGAAAACUAUUAAAAAUUGUUGUUUUAUUAAUUUGUUAAUAAAUGUGCAAACAAAAACAUCUUUAACUUUACAAAAUUAUUGAGAAUUUUUUUGAAACCACAAUCCGUCAUGAUUCGUAUUUUAUCUGUGUAAACAAAAGCAUAUGCAAAUAUAUGACUUUAACUUCAAAGUAUGUAAAUUAUAAAAAAGUUAGAAUUUGUUGCGUCUGUGUCAUGAUAGAGUUUAAGGUUUAAAUGUGCUUAUUAAUAGAUUAACUGUACAUAUGAAAGAGGCAAUUUUCUUUUUUAUAGGAAAAAGAUAUU